UAGGGAAUCUUCGGCAAUGGACGAAAGUCUGACCGAGCAACGCCGCGUGAGUGAAGAAGGUUUUCGGAUCGUAAAACUCUGUUGUUAGAGAAGAACAAGGAUGAGAGUAAAAUGUUCAUCCCUUGACGGUAUCUAACCAGAAAGCCACGGCUAACUACGUGCCAGCAGCCGCGGUAAUACGUAGGUGGCAAGCGUUGUCCGGAUUUAUUGGGCGUAAAGCGAGCGCAGGCGGUUUCUUAAGUCUGAUGUGAAAGCCCCCGGCUCAACCGGGGAGGGUCAUUGGAAACUGGGGAACUUGAGUGCAGAAGAGGAGAGUGGAAUUCCAUGUGUAGCGGUGAAAUGCGUAGAUAUAUGGAGGAACACCAGUGGCGAAGGCGGCUCUCUGGUCUGUAACUGACGCUGAGGCUCGAAAGCGUGGGGAGCAAACAGG
rnacentral:rRNA from 1 species